rnacentral:rRNA from 1 species
AGCUCCAAUAGUGUAUAUUAAAGUUGCUGCGGUUAAAAAGCUCGUAGUUGGAUUUCGGAUCGCACGAGGUUAGAGCCCACUCUUAGGGGUGCGUGCUCGGCUUCUGCUUCCUACCUUCUGGUAACGCCAGAUCCCUCUUCGCGGGGGGGUUUGGAGGUUCCGGAUCGUUUACUUUGAAAAAAUUAGAGUGUUCAAAGCAGGCGUAACUUGCAUUCGAAUAUAUUAGCAUGGGAUAAUAGAAUACGACUUUGGUCUUAUUUUGUUGGUUUCUAAGGCCGAAGUAAUGAUUGAUAGGGAUAGUUGGGGCCGCUCGUAUUGAGUUGUCAGAGGUGAAAUUCUAGGAUUUACUCAAGACGAACUAAUGCGAAAGCAUUCGGCAAGGAUGUUUUCA